GACGAACGCUGGCGGCGUGCUUAACACAUGCAAGUCGAACGGAAAGGCCCUGCUUUUGUGGGGUGCUCGAGUGGCGAAAGGGUGAGUAACACGUGAGUAACCUGCCCUUGACUUUGGGAUAACUUCAGGAAACUGGGGCUAAUACCGGAUAGGAGCUCCUGCUGCAUGGUGGGGGUUGGAAAGUUUCGGCGGUUGGGGAUGGACUCGCGGCUUAUCAGCAUGUUGGUGGGGUAGUGGCUUACCAAGGCUUUGACGGGUAGCCGGCCUGAGAGGGUGACCGGCCACAUUGGGACUGAGAUACGGCCCAGACUCCUACGGGAGGCAGCAGUGGGGAAUAUUGCACAAUGGGCGGAAGCCUGAUGCAGCGACGCCGCGUGCGGGAUGACGGCCUUCGGGUUGUAAACCGCUUUCGCCUGUGACGAAGCGUGAGUGACGGUAAUGGGUAAAGAAGCACCGGCUAACUACGUG
rnacentral:rRNA from 1 species